rnacentral:lncRNA from 1 species
AAGUGUUUAAGGUGGCACUCCAACUCUCCAUUGUUCACAAGUCACAUGAAACAAAAUUGUCAUUCAUCUCAAACAAUCAACAUCCUUACAUGCAAAUGCCAUCAAAAGGACUUUUCCAAGGCUUGUAAUGAGGUUGGGCUAACAAGAAAAAUUGGCUUUUCCGGAAAACAAAAUCCUUGAGUUAAAAGAGCUUUCAUAAUAUUUAACAAUUAAGCACAACUCUCUUCCUCACCAAUCUCACUCAUUCCCAACUUUUUCCCCUUUUCUUUUUUAUUGAGCUCCUCUUCAUGCUUUUCUUCUUUUCUUUUCUUUUUCUCAUGAAUUUUUCUUUUCACAACAUUUGAGAUCAAUGUUUCACAAUUGCUUUUCAAUUUUCCCCCAUACAACCCCAAACUUGAACCUUUUCUUCGCAUACAUUUAAGCUCAUCCCAACUCAAGGUAAAGAAUUUA